AUGCGGAGCGGAGCGGAGCGGAGCAGCGGUCACCGAGCGAAGCUGCCGCGCUCCCAGGAGACCGUGCGGCCGCCGGACGGACGUUCCCCUCCCGGCUCGGGGCUGGCGCCGCCGCGGGCGUGCAGGACCUGGGCGAGGAAGGUGGAAAACAGGCAACGACCAGGUGGCAGCGGGACUAGGGGAACCGGCAGCAGGUCCAGGGGCCGCCCCAGCAGCGAGAAGUCCCAGGACACAGAGCGAAGCUCCG